rnacentral:rRNA from 1 species
ACUCUUGACAUCUACAGGAUCCUGCGGAGACGCGGGAGUGCCUUCGGGAACUGUAAGACAGGUGCUGCAUGGCUGUCGUCAGCUCGUGUUGUGAAAUGUUGGGUUAAGUCCCGCAACGAGCGCAACCCUUAUCCUUGUUUGCCAGCGAGUAAUGUCGGGAACUCCAGGGAGACUGCCGGUGAUAAACCGGAGGAAGGUGGGGACGACGUCAAGUCAUCAUGGCCCUUACGAGUAGGGCUACACACGUGCUACAAUGGCGCAUACAGAGGGCGGCGAGCUAGCGAUAGUGAGCGAAUCCCAAAAAGUGCGUCGUAGUCCGGAUUGGAGUCUGCAACUCGACUCCAUGAAGUCGGAAUCGCUAGUAAUCGUGGAUCAGAAUGCCACGGUGAAUACGUUCCCGGGCCUUGUACACACCGCCCGUCACACCAUGGGAGUGGGCUGCAAAAGAAGCAGGUAGUUUAACCUUCGGGAGGACGCUUGCCACUUUGUGGUUCAUGACUGGGGUGAAGUCGUAACAAGGUAACCACUUUCCC